GACUGCUUGGCGCAAUGGUAGCGCGCGGUCCUCCUAUAACGUACUGUUAUGCGGAGUGAAAGACUGAGGUUGCGGGUUCGAGUCCCGUGGUGGUCG